CCUACGGGAGGCAGCAGUGGGGAAUAUUGGGCAAUGGGCGCAAGCCUGACCCAGCAACGCCGCGUGAAGGAAGAAGGCUUUCGGGUUGUAAACUUCUUUUCUGAGGGACGAAGAAAGUGACGGUACCUCAGGAAUAAGCCACGGCUAACUAAGUGCCAGCAGCCGAGGUAAUACGUAGGUGGCAAGCGUUAUCCGGAUUGAUUGGGGGUAAAGGGCGGGUAGGGGGGAAAGCAAGUCAGAUGUGAAAACUCAGGGCUCAACCCUGAGCCUGCAUUUGAAACGGUUUUUCUUGAGUGCUGGAGAGGCAAUCGGAAUUCCGGGUGUAGCGGUGAAAUGCGUAGAUAUACGGCGGAACACCAGUGGCGAAGGCGGAUUGCUGGACAGUAACUGACGCUGAGGCGCGAAAGCGUGGGGAGCAAACAGGAUUAGAUACCCGAGUAGUC
rnacentral:rRNA from 1 species